rnacentral:lncRNA from 1 species
GAUCAUUCAUGCAAAAUUUCAUUCAAAUUGAUGAUCAUUUAGGUACCGAAUUAGGUUAAAUUAAUGAACGAACCAUAAAUAUGUCUAACCAGAACUGUUUGUAUAAUUCACGAUUAUGAACAGCCAAACGAUUAUGAACAGUAGAGAUGUGAAAAUAUGACCGAAAAAUGUGUCAAAUAAAGAACUUCACACUUUAAUUUCAGAGCACAACUUCGCUCGCUCUGGAUAGGAAUUAUCUAUCCAUAUCGCUCUAUUCUCCCUCUAAUGGGUUUAUUUGCCAUUUUAUUGUCAAAAUCCAUAUGUCUCUUCCUGCACCCAAUAGAUUCCAUAUUGUCCUCAAUAAAUCACAUAUUGCAUCUAAAAGACUCUUUUAUUGUCCCUAAUAGACCCCUGUACUGCACCCAAUAGACACUCCGACAGACCCCAUAUUACCUCCAAUAGACCCCAUACUACCCUCAAUUCACCCCCAGACAGACCCCUUAUUGGCCCCAAUAGACCCCCUACUGCCCUCUAAUAGAUCACAUACUACCCCCAAUAGACCUCCUUACUGCCCCAAUAGACCCGGCCCCCUAGCCUGCUGCCUCCAGUAGACCCUCUACUGCCCCAAAUAGACCCCCCUACUUGUAACAGCCCAGUCCCUACCAUUGAGAUUUUGUUCUUGAGGUUUCACCCCAAAACGCGUCUCAAUGUACGUAAGGUGCUAGCUCUGCACAUAGAAGCAUAGCAACUUGUCUCCCCCGGGUCUCGCCCGAGCGAUGUGGGACGGGUGCACCUACUAGCUUGCCUGCCUAGUUAGGUCACCACAAUCCACCUCCCUUUAGGGCCCAAUGUCUGGGUAGACACUUCCGGCCGGGGACAGGCUCUGAUACCAUCUGUAACAGUGCAGUCCUUACCAUUGAGAUAUUGUCUGCUUUAAGCCCACCGGCCCUCAUGGUUUUGUUCUUGAGGUUUCACCCCAAAACGCGUCUCAAUGUACGUAAGGUGCUAGCUCUGCACAUAUAAGCAUAGCAACUUGUCUCCCCCGGGCGAUGUGGGAUGGGUGCACCUACUAGCUUGCCUGCCUAGUUAGGUCACCACACUACUGCCCCAAUAGAUCCCCUUACUGCCCCUAAUAGAUGCGGCCCCCUACUCCUCUCAAUAGACCCGACCCCUCACUGCCCCUAAUAGAGUCCUUAUUGCCAGAGUCCGGUCAACAUCAUUGGUCGUGGGAAUUUGAUUAUAGAAUCUUUAUUUCAUUAUAGACUUUUAUAAUGGUUUAUUGUAGUUUAUCUAAUUCAUUAAGGAUAAUUGUUUUUUUUGUUGUAUAAGUUGACUCUUGGGAAUUUAAAAAUCUGAUUUUGUUAGUGGGAAGAAAAAUCUUAAAUUUAGUGGGCGAGGUCCCGCAGGAGGUUAAGGACAUGGUCCACAACGCGAUGUCGGUGAGUUUACAAAAUAAUAUUAUGUAUUACAUUGUUGAUUUCUCGAAAAACUAAACCAAUAAACGGUUAAAUACAGGUGUGGUUUGAGAUUCCCGAGCACCUGAAGGACAGCUAGGCCGACGUUGUGCAUGGGGGAAAGUACGUUGGGAAGUUAAUGAAAAACAAAAUUGUAUGUGAUAUUAAUAAUAUUUCUAAUAUUUUUGUUGUAUUUGUAGGUACAAGGAGUGGAAGAACGAGUUGCGGACCCACUGGACUACGCACGGGAACGCACGUUCUGGUACCCCUGCUGAGUUCCAGUACAGGGAGUACGAGUGGCGUUGGCUUCUGACAUCAGAAUUCAACAACCCUCGUAAACAGGUAUUUAAAAAAAUUAAUUAGUUAAUUUGUCAUUAAGUACGUCCGUUUUUAAAUAUUUUACUAAUAAUUUAUUUUUUUCUUUGAAGGCCGUUUCCCGAGCGAACUCUCAGAACCGGCAACGCAACACAAGGAACCAUCAUGGCGGUUUUAGACCGUUUGCUGUCUUCAUGGACGAGGUGGCCAGGGAACAUCCAGAAGUCAACCGGUACGUCUAUACGUACGAGAAGGCAUAUCCUGACUCCCACGAGGAUAUUUUAAGUCAUCUUACGUUUUUAAAUUUUUAAAUUUACUUAUAUAUAUGUCAAAAUAUUAAUUAAUAAUUUUUUUCCUAUCCAUAUAGGCGAAGGUGAGGGAGGCUAGUGACGAGGUGAUGAGUGCUAUAGCGAGGGAGACAUGGCCGGACACGCAGGAGGAAGAGAUGUUCGAAGCCAUGUCCCAGAUCGACACUUCGGAUCUGACAAUUGGGGCGAGGAUCAUGGGCACAGCCUUCCCAUCGAGAGCAAACAACUUCUACUGCCGGGGUCUAGGAAAGAAAGGCGAGGGGGUCCUGAAGACCACUCCAGGAUUUCAACAAAAGGCAGCCUCGACCAGCAGCAGGACCACGUCCACGACCACCAGGACGACUCAGCUAGAGUCGGAAGUUCAGAGACUACGAGAACAGCAAGCUGCUCAGGCUGCCUAUAAUGCCUCGCAGGCAGCCUAUAAUGCCGCGCAGGCAGCCUAUGUUGCCGAGAUACAUGCCAUCCAGCAGGCCCAGCAGCAGCAGAUGUUCCAGUACAUGCAGGACUUUACAGCUGCCCAGCUUCAGGGACUUCCGGCUCCGCCCAUACCGCUACCCCAGCCGCCGCAACCUCCGCAACAGCCCCCAGAAGCGGAUAUUAAUUUAGACGAUUUAGAUUUUCUGUAGUUGAUGAAUGAAUUAUAUAGUUUUAUGUGCUUGUUGUUGGUUAUAUAGAAUUGUUUUGGUGUAUUUUGCAGCUUGCUUGGAAUGGUAAUUCAGAAAUUUCGGGGGUUUUUUUUUUAACUGGAAUGGACUUAUAGCCGACGAAAAACGCCUUAAUUCGUCGGCUAAAGUUUUUAUUUUUUUUAAAAUAAGUUUUAGGUGAUGAAAUACGCUUUAAUUCGUCGGCUAAAUCCCUAUAAAGCCGACGAAAUAGACUAUAUUUCGUCGGCUAUAGAUGUUUUUUAAUUUUUUUAUUACAAUGACACGACCCACCCCGAAUUUCACCCUGAAACCCAGAGUAAGUCGUGCGGGGACCACCUCCAAGGAAAAUUUACUGAAAAGAUUAAGAAAAUCUCCCUUGCAGAUGGACAACCCUAACUCGAAAAUUUCAUAUUACACUCUUAAUUUAACGCUUCUGAAUAUCACAUAAUAUACAAAAUUCUAAAGUAUUCAGAGCUACUAAACACAAGCGGAAGCAAGAAAACACAAGUAGGUUGAACAGGUAACCUACUGACGAAAACUGGCCGAAAAGCGGGUGACUAUGCCUCGUCUCCUACUAGAUCCAACCCGAACUCUGCAGACUGGGCAAUUUAAAACGAAGGGCCCAGGGGAAAACAUUUAAUAACGUUAGAGUGAGUGGACAAAAAUAAAUUAAUAAUUAAAAUA